AUGUCUGGAUUUUCAUCCUCAACCGGGUUCGAGCAACUCCCACCGCUAAUCAGCUGCCCUGAGUGCGGCGGCCGCGUCUUCACCUGGAUUGCUCGGGCGGGUCAGAAUGCGGGCGUUCGUUUCUACAAGUGCGUCAACAAGGACGCUGGCAUCUGCAACUACAUGAGAACCAAGGCGGAGUACCUAGCCGAGCUUAGCUACCAUAUGGCGACCACACAGCAGCCAUUGCAGGGGAGCAGCCAGUCGGGAGCUUGUCUGAACCGCAGAGCUCGAGUUGUCGAGCAGCAGCGCAGUGGUCCAGUCGGUCCCCAAGCUUCCAGAGCCCAACCACUGCUUAAUCAAGCAGGCUCAUCCGCGCCGCUCUUCGUGUUCUUGUGUUUUUAG
rnacentral:rRNA from 1 species